CCCUAACCCAAUAGAUGUAAUCAAUUCCAAUGAAUCUUCCAGCCCAUUUUCUUCAUAAACACCCAAAAUCCUCUCAUCAUCUUGCAAUGUACCUAUCUUGCGUAACUGUCCUUCAAUAUCAUAUAAUCUUUUUCUUUCUUUUCUUUUAAAAUCUUCAACUUUUUUAUACAUAAUAUUUCCAUUCUCCAAUAUACCAAUAAAACUCGCAUCAAAGGCACCUUCAUCUCGCGAGAGUACCUCCUCUUUUGUAUCUCCAUAAUCUCGCUUU
rnacentral:lncRNA from 1 species